rnacentral:misc_RNA from 1 species
GCAAACUUGGUCAUUUAGAGGAAGUAAAAGUCGUAACAAGGUUUCCGUAGGUGAACCUGCGGAAGGAUCAUUAUUGAAUAAAUCUGGAGUUUGGUUGUUGCUGGCUUUUCAGGAGCAAAUGUGCACACCUACUCUAUUUUUCUUUUCAAAACACCAUGUGCACCUUGCGUAGAUUCUUGAAUAACCUUCGAGACAGUAAACUCGGUUCAGAAGGGGGAUUGCUGUGUGAAAGCCAGCUUUUCUUCAAUUUUCAGAUCUAUGUUUUCUUUUAUAUAUAUACUCCAUGAAAUGUAUGAGAAUAUUGUGCGUUUGAAAAAACAAAUACAACUUUCAACAACGGAUCUCUUGGCUCUUGCAUCGAUGAAGAACGCAGC